rnacentral:rRNA from 1 species
AUGUGUGAUCACAGAUAUCGGAUGCUUCUGUGCCAUGCAAUUAGAAAAGGUCCGCAACAUCCACUCGUAUGCCUGGCUUGUUUCAUGAGAAAUUAUACCACAGCCAAAAAUAACAGUGUUGCGGUGGUGAUUCAACCCGACAAACGGCACGAAUGGCAGAUUGUAUUUGUUGGUUCUGUAUGUGCUAUCGAAAACAAUGACGUCUCCGAAAGCCUCAUAGUCAAGUCGCGACUGACUAUCAGCCCAGAACAGUCCCUUCAGAUGGCCAUGCUCGUCUACCAAGUACUUGAAGAAAAAAAUCCACAUCUCGCUCUCGCCUCGCCAUCAUGUGCAUGA